rnacentral:rRNA from 1 species
GACGAACGCUGGCGGCGUGCUUAACACAUGCAAGUCGAACGGAAAGGCCCCUUUGGGGGUACUUGAGUGGCGAACGGGGGAGUAACACGUGAGUAACCUUCCCUUGACUUCGGGAUAACUUCAGGAAACUGGGGCUAAUACCGGAUAGGAAUCCUUGCUGCAUGGUGGGGGUUGGAAAGCUUCGGCGGUUUUGGAUGGACUCGCGGCUUAUCAGCUUGUUGGUGGGGUAGUGGCUUACCAAGGCUUUGACGGGUAGCCGGCCUGGGGGGGCGACCGGCCACAUUGGGACUGAGAUACGGCCCAGACUCCGACGGGAGGCAGAAGUGGGGAAUAUUGCACAAGGGGCGGAGGCCUGAUGCAGCAACGCCGCGGGCGGGAUGACGGCCUUCGGGUUGUAAACCGCUUUCAGCAGGGGCGAAGCUUGUGGUGACGGUACCUGCAGAAGAAGCACCGGCUAACUACGUG